CCCUCGUUAAGGAACUCGGCAAGUUGACCCCGUAACUUAGGGAUAAGGGGUGCCACUGUGGGUAGAGGCUUCGAGCCUCUUUGGCCCGCGGUGGCCGCAGUGAGCAGGCCCAGGCGACUGUUUAACAAAAACACAGGUCUCUGCCAAGGCGAAAGCCGAAGUAUAGGGGCUGACACCUGCCCAGUGCCGGAAGGUUAAGGGGAGGGGUUAGGAAGGCGGCGAGGUCUUUGGCCUUAAGGUCUUCCGAAGCUUUGAACCGAAGCCCCGGUGAACGGCGGCCGUAACUAUAACGGUCCUAAGGUAGCGAAAUCCCUUGUCGGGUAAGUUCCGACCCGCACGAAAGGUGUAACGACCUGGGCGCUGUCUCAACGAGGGACUCGGCGAAAUUGAAGUACC
rnacentral:rRNA from 1 species